GAGCUAACGCGUUAAGUAGACCGCCUGGGGAGUACGGUCGCAAGAUUAAAACUCAAAUGAAUUGACGGGGGCCCGCACAAGCGGUGGAGCAUGUGGUUUAAUUCGAUGCAACGCGAAGAACCUUACCUACUCUUGACAUCCAGAGAAGCUUGAAGAGAUUCGAGUGUGCCUUCGGGAACUCUGAGACAGGUGCUGCAUGGCUGUCGUCAGCUCGUGUUGUGAAAUGUUGGGUUAAGUCCCGCAACGAGCGCAACCCUUAUCCUUGUUUGCCAGCACUUCGGGUGGGAACUCCAGGGAGACUGCCGGUGAUAAACCGGAGGAAGGUGGGGACGACGUCAAGUCAUCAUGGCCCUUACGAGUAGGGCUACACACGUGCUACAAUGGCAUAUACAGAGGGCAGCAAGACCGCGAGGUGGAGCGAAUCCCAGAAAGUAUGUCGUAGUCCGGAUCGGAGUCUGCAACUCGACUCCGUGAAGUCGGAAUCGCUAGUAAUCGUGGAUCAGAAUGCCACGGUGAAUACGUUCCCGGGCCUUGUACACACCGCCCGUCACACCAUGGGAGUGGGCUGCACCAGAAGU
rnacentral:rRNA from 1 species